rnacentral:misc_RNA from 1 species
AUCUUUCUCGUUUUCAGUCACAACAUUCUUAGGCUUCAAAUUUUUGGAAGCACUGUAAAAUUCGUUUCCACUUAUACUGCUUAAAAGCAUGAGCCAGCGUUUAGAAACGCAAGCGCAGAGGCUCCUCGUCUCUCUAUCAGGCAGGCAUCUGAAGAUCUCAAAGAGGCACUCGUCUGGAAGAACUUCAAUAGAUGCCUCCUUCUUUUUGAG